rnacentral:lncRNA from 1 species
GGACUCCCUCCAAGGCCAAUAAGAGUCAUUAUUACAUCAUGUGGACACUGCCCUCCUAUUAGCACAUCCCUUUGCCACACUAGCGGCCCCCUGCACUCCAGCACUCACAGUUAGGAUGGCUGUCAUGCACUGUGCUCCUGGGCUCUCCAUCCUCUGACCACAACUCCCUAACCCUGGGUUCUACCUGCGGCCCCCACUCCACACCGUGGCCAUCUCGUGAGUUCUCGUGGCUGUUACCAGCAUCUGAAUGAUGAUAGCUCCAAAGUGUCAAUCUCUAGAGCCAACCCUAAGCCUCAAACCUGAAACGGAACUUGUCUUUCCUCCUCAAACUCGGUCUUCCACCCUCGACAAUGGUCUCAUUUUCCAGCAGAAGAAUGUGUAACGCCCCUUCACCGCUCAGGCCCCAUACUGGUACUUUGGGUGCAGGUGCUGGGCUUCAGAAAUAAACAGGCUAAUUGAGCCGGAGAUGGGGGGUGACACAGAAACCAGGGAGUUGACUAGAUUUGUUUUGCAAUGAAAAAUAUACAAACCCAUUUACUGGAAUACAUGGCUACAAAACACUUGAAAUUCCAUGCAGUGAAUUUUGAAUUUUC